rnacentral:rRNA from 1 species
CCCUUAGAUGGUCUGGGCGGCACGCGCGCUACAAUGAUGCAUUCAAAAAGUCUUCUGACCUUAGAAGGUUGGGUAUUCCCCAAAGUGCAUCGUGAUGGGAAUAGUUUAUUGCAAUUUUUAAUCUUGAACGAGGAAUUCCUAGUAAGUACAGGUCAUCAACUUGUGUUGAUUACGUCCCUGCCCUUUGUACACACCGCCCGUCGCUCCUACUGAUUGAGUGUCUCGGUGAAUUCUUUGAUCUUCUGUCGAUUCAGUUCACUGAUCCGACGGUGGAAAGUUGAAUGAACUUCGUCACUUAGAGGAAGGAGAAGUCGUAACA